CUAACAAGGAUUCCCCUAGUAACGGCGAGUGAAGCGGGAUGAGCUCAAAUUUAAAAUCUGGCGGCCUCAGGUCGUCCGAGUUGUAGUCUAGAGAAUCGUUUUCCGCGUUGGCCUGUGUACAAGUCCCUUGGAACAGGGCGUCAUAGAGGGUGAGAAUCCCGUCCUUGACACAGACUACCAAUGCUUUGUGAUGCGAUCUCGAAGAGUCGAGUUGUUUGGGAAUGCAGCUCAAAAUGGGUGGUAAAUUCCAUCUAAAGCUAAAUAUUGGCGAGAGACCGAUAGCGAACAAGUACCGUGAGGGAAAGAUGAAAAGCACUUUGGAAAGAGAGUUAAACAGUACGUGAAAUUGUUAAAAGGGAAACGAUUGAAGUCAGUCAUGCUUUCCGAGACUCAGCCGAUUCUGUCGGUGUACUUCUCGGUUGGCAGGCCAGCAUCAGUUUCGAUCUGUGGAAAAGGUUGGAGGGAACGUGGCAUCCUCGGAUGUGUUAUAGCCCUUCUUCGAAUACAUAGAGCGGGACUGAGGAACGCAGCGCGCCUUUUAUUAGGUUGGCCCUCGGGUACAUACGCGCUUAGGAUGCUGGCAUAAUGGCUUUAAACGACCCGUCUUGAAACACGGACC
rnacentral:rRNA from 1 species